GGGAUUGCCCUAGUAACGGCGAGUGAAGCGGCAACAGCUCAAAUUUGAAAUCUGGCGCAAGCCCGAGUUGUAAUUUGUAGAGGAUGCUUCUGGGUAGCGACCGGUCUAAGUUCCUUGGAACAGGACGUCAGAGAGGGUGAGAAUCCCGUAUGUGACCGGCCCGCACCCUGCACGUAGCUCCUUCGACGAGUCGAGUUGUUUGGGAAUGCAGCUCUAAAUGGGAGGUAAAUUUCUUCUAAAGCUAAAUACCGGCCAGAGACCGAUAGCGCACAAGUAGAGUGAUCGAAAGAUGAAAAGUACUUUGGAAAGAGAGUUAAACAGCACGUGAAAUUGUUGAAAGGGAAGCGCCUGCAAUCAGACUUCGCGGCAGUGUUCCGCCGGUCUUCUGACCGGUCUACUCUCUGUCGCGAGGCCAUCAUCGUCUCGGCCCGCUGGAUAAGACCUUGGGAAUGUAGCUCACCUUCGGGGGAGUGUUAUAGCUCUUGGUGAUGCAGCGAGGCUGGGGCGAGGUCCGCGCUUCGGCAAGGAUGAUGGCGUAAUGGUUGUCGGCGGCCCGUCUUGAAACACGGACCAAGGAGUCUAACAUCUAUGCGAGUGUUCGGGUGUCAAACCCCUACGCGUAAUGAAAGUGAACGGAGGUGGGACCCGCAAGGUGCACCAUCGACCGAUCCUGAUGUCCUCGGAUGGAUUUGAGUAAGAGCAUAGCUGUUGGGACCCGAAAGAUGGUGAACUAUGCCUGAAUAGGGUGAAGCCAGAGGAAACUCUGGUGGAGGCUCGCAGCGGUUCUGACGUGCAAAUCGAUCGUCAAAUUUGGGUAUAGGGGCG
rnacentral:rRNA from 1 species